rnacentral:rRNA from 1 species
UGGGGAAUAUUGGACAAUGGGCGCAAGCCUGAUCCAGCAAUGCCGCGUGUGUGAAGAAGGCCUUCGGGUUGUAAAGCACUUUUAUCAGGAGCGAAACGCUGUCGGCUAAUACCCGGCGGAACUGACGGUACCUGAGGAAUAAGCACCGGCUAACUUCGUGCCAGCAGCCGCGGUAAUACGAAGGGUGCAAGCGUUAAUCGGAAUUACUGGGCGUAAAGCGUGCGUAGGCGGUUUCUUAAGUCUGCUGUGAAAUCCCCGGGCUCAACCUGGGAAUGGCAGUGGAUACUGGGAGGCUAGAGUGUGUCAGAGGGUGGUGGAAUUCCCGGUGUAGCGGUGAAAUGCGUAGAGAU